rnacentral:rRNA from 2 species
CUUGCUGGGUGGAAGAGUGGCGAACGGGUGAGUAACACGUGAGUAACCUGCCCUGAACUCUGGGAUAAGCACUGGAAACGGUGUCUAAUACUGGAUACGACCUAUCACCGCAUGGUGUGUGGGUGGAAAGAUUUAUCGGUUUUGGAUGGACUCGCGGCCUAUCAGCUAGAUGGUGAGGUAAUGGCUCACCAUGGCGACGACGGGUAGCCGGCCUGAGAGGGUGACCGGCCACACUGGGACUGAGACACGGCCCAGACUCCUACGGGAGGCAGCAGUGGGGAAUAUUGCACAAUGGGCGCAAGCCUGAUGCAGCAACGCCGCGUGAGGGAUGACGGCCUUCGGGUUGUAAACCUCUUUUAGUAGGGAAGAAGCGAAAGUGACGGUACCUGCAGAAAAAGCACCGGCUAACUACGUGCCAGCAGCCGCGGUAAUACGUAGGGUGCAAGCGUUGUCCGGAAUUAUUGGGCGUAAAGAGCUCGUAGGCGGCUUGUCGCGUCUGCUGUGAAAUCCCGGGGCUCAACCCCGGGCCUGCAGUGGGUACGGGCAAGCUAGAGUGCGGUAGGGGAGAUUGGAAUUCCUGGUGUAGCGGUGGAAUGCGCAGAUAUCAGGAGGAACACCGA